GAUGAACGCUGGCGGCGUGCCUAACACAUGCAAGUCGAGCGAGAAAUAAACGAACAAAGCUUCGGUGGAGUUAGUUUAUGGAAAGCGGCGGACGGGUGAGUAACGCGUAGGCAACCUGCCCCAUACAGGGGGAUAGCCUCGGGAAACCGGGAUUAAUACCUCAUAACACGAAGAGCCCGCAUGGGCAAUUGGUCAAAGAUUUAUCGGUAUGGGAUGGGCCUGCGUCUGAUUAGCUGGUUGGUAGGGUAACGGCCUACCAAGGCAACGAUCAGUAGCCGACCUGAGAGGGUGAUCGGCCACAUUGGAACUGAGACACGGUCCAAACUCCUACGGGAGGCAGCAGUGGGGAAUAUUGCACAAUGGGCGCAAGCCUGAUGCAGCAACGCCGCGUGAGCGAAGAAGGCCUUCGGGUCGUAAAGCUCUGUCCAUGGGGAAGAAACAAAUGACGGUACCCAUGGAGGAAGCCCCGGCUAACUACGUGCCAGCCGCCGCAGUAACAC
rnacentral:rRNA from 1 species